AGGAAAUCAAAUAUCGCAGAGCACAUUGCACCUGCUGAGCUCAGCGUCAGGGACAAGAGUUCAGAGGCACAACGGGAUGCUGCAGGGGGGAGGGUGUUUCCCAUCACUCAGUGAUGCCGCUCAAGGUGCGAGGGAGGGAGCGUCCCUUGGCGUCUUCACAAAACUUCGGAACAGGUCGUGGUGUUCUGACAUGCUCACUGUGCCGCAGCUCUUCUUGAAGUCAGAGACAGAGCAGUGGGAACUGAGACUUCUUCCCAUCCUGUGCCGUUUGUCCCCAGACCACUGUCCCUCUGGGUCAUGUCCUCCUGCUUCAUAUGAAGCAACAGAAUGCACCGGGAGGUUCGGUCACGGGUCCCAAGUCACACAGCAAGUAAUUAGCAGAGAAGAAAUUCGAACCCGUGAUGCUGACUCAGAAUCUGACUCGAGAACAUGCAGGUCCUUAAAAGUAAACCUGAAACUAUGUAAAAUUACAUACUACAUGGAAAUAAUUGUAUAAGGCUUGGGUGGUGGAAUUUUAAUUAUGGUGUUUUCCUUUCCUUUCCUUUUAUUUUCU
rnacentral:lncRNA from 1 species